rnacentral:rRNA from 1 species
AGAGUUUGAUCCUGGCUCAGAGCGAACGCUGGCGGCGUGCUUAACACAUGCAAGUCGAACGCGCAGCAUUCUGUAGCAAUACAGGGUGUGGGCGCGUGGCGAACGGGUGCGUAACACGUGGAUAACCUUCCUUCAGGUGGGGAAUAACCCAGUGAAAACUGGGCUAAUACCGCAUAACAUGACGAUGGCACAUGCUGUUGUCUUCAAAGGCGCAAGUCGCCAGAAGAGGGAUCCGCGGCCGAUUAGCUUGUUGGCGAGGUAAUGGCUCACCAAGGCAAUGAUCGGUAGCCGGACUGAGAGGUUGGCCGGCCACACUGGAACUGAGACACGGUCCAGACUCCUACGGGAGGCAGCAGUGGGGAAUCUUGCACAAUGGACGAAAGUCUGAUGCAGCAACGCCGCGUGGGGGAUGAAGCUUCUCGGAGUGUAAACCCCUUUCGACCCGGAAGAAUGCCCGCAAGGGUUUGACGGUACGGGUAUAAGAAGCCCCGGCUAACUACGUGCCAGCAGCCGCGGUAAUACGUAGGGGGCCAGCGUUGCUCGGAAUUACUGGGCGCAAAGGGUCUGUAGGCGGUGCGGCAAGUCGAUAGUGAAAUCCCUAGGCUUAACCUAGGGGCUGCUAGCGAAACUGCCGUGCUAGAGUGUGAGAGAGGCGAGUGGAAUUACGGGUGUAGCGGUGAAAUGCGUAGAUAUCCGUAGGAACAUCCGAGGCGAAAGCGGCUCGCUGGAUCACAACUGACGCUGAGAGACGAAGCUAGGGGAGCAAACAGGAUUAGAUACCCUGGUAGUCUAGCCCUAAACCAUCAGACUUGGGGUUUGCCUGUACGGGGCAAGUCCCGUAGCUACGCGUUAAGUCUGCGCUGGGGAGUACGGUCGCAAG